rnacentral:misc_RNA from 1 species
GUGAAUCAUCGAAUUUUUGAACGCAAAUUGCGCUUUCUGGUAUUCCGGAGAGUAUGCCUGUUUGAGGGUCAGUUAUAUAUAAAUCGUUGUUGUUGCUGCCUUUCGUGGUGACACGUCUGAAUUAGGUCGUCUUACCUUCGGUUAAGUGACUUAAAAUUUUUGCAUGAUAUUCGAACGUAUUUAAAUCGCUUACGUACGUAUGAGAUAUCGAAUACUUUAUUUGGUUCGGUCUUCCUCAU